CCUGGACGGUAGGUAUUUAUUUUCCUUAUUUAGCAAAUGAAGAAAAUUAGAAUCAGCAACAUAAAGAAAACCUGAGGAAAGCCUGCAAUUAGUAAAUAAUAAAGCCAGGGUUCCAAUUCAGAUCAGGUUGAACUCCAAACCUUUGUUCCCUCCCAUGAUAUCAUGUCAUAGUGUUCUGGUCAUGGUGACCCAGAAAGGAAGUAUUGUGUCCAACACGUGAGUCGCCAUAAAUGUUCACCACAUUUCUUUUACCAAUUAAAGCAGAACAUACAUAGAGGAAAGUGUGUAUGUCUUUGUGCAUAGCUUGCUGAAUUUUCCUGUGCAGAUUAUGUAGCAUCCCAGAAGAACCCCUUCUCACUCAUACUCCACAAAUUCUAAGAGCAUAGUUAAGUUUUACCUGUUUUUAUAAAACUUCAUAUUAAUGGAAUUAUGUAUAAUUCAUAAUAUAUUAUCAUACCAUAUAUAUUCCAUUGGCUCCAACUUUCCUGGGAUCCAGAUGGGAAGCCUGAUUCUAGAACAGUGCAAAAGUUCAGUUAUAAGAACUGAGUUAAAGUUCAAAGGCAGAUUAGAGUAGGAUCAAGGGUGAAUAUCUGUUAAGACUUGAAAUAUUAGCUUAAGACUUGAAUAUUAACCUUCUUGCUAGCUAAGAUCAUUUUGGACCUUGAGCAAUGAUAUGGAUCUUCUUUCUAGAAAAAGCAAAUAGGCACAAGACAAUAAAAUCUUGUCUGCAAUGUCAGGGAGCUCACAAACUCUUUAAAGUUCAUCUAUGAAUUCCUUGGGGAUUUGUAUCCACCUAGAUAAGAACCUUUGUCCUACAGGAGCAGGGCUGAGCAUGCACGUGGAGGUCACAUGAUUCCAACCAUGGAUAGAGAGGUGUAAAACCUGGGAAAUGUCCCUGACAUGACAACUCUGCCAAUAGUUUCUUUUUCUUCUUAAAAUUCAUUUGGGAAAAAAAAAAGCCACACGAACAAGAAAAAGAUGACUAGUAAAUUGAAUUUUAUUUCCUUGUUAGUCCCUGUAUUCUCAACGAUACAACCAGAUCCAUAGUCUCUCACCUCAGAGACCACCAGUUACCAUUUUCUUGUGUAUCCUCCCAGAAAUGUUCUGACCUAUAAUCUGACCUAGUUAUUCUAUUCAAAGUUUCUAGCCCUAACAAUUCAUGCUGCAAAUAUUGCCAGACUUGUUUUCCUAAAACAUCAGAUUAUGUUAUUUUCUUGCUCAGAAAUAUUUUAUAGCUCCUUGAUACCAACAUAAUGAAAUGCAAAAUCCCUAACUUGACAUCAAUGCUCUCCUUCACCAAAACUCUGAAAUCCCUCUCUAGUGACUAAAACAAAACAAAAGAACGUGAAACCUCUUCUGUCCCCAGGGAAGACUUCUGCCAGACCCCAUGAUCCCAAAUACCCAGCUGCCAUUUUCUGUUAAUUCUUCCAUUGAGAUAUUCUUUAUAUCUUUCCUUUCUUUCUUUGACAUCUUUUUUUCCCCAGCCUCUGAGCCAGGCCUGCUCACUUCAGCCUAGUGCAGGGCACCACAUGGCCAGUGUCACCUUCUGGAAGCUGCUCCUAGAGCAUUUCAUUUUCCUUGCAAACACCUUCAGUGAGUCUAGUCCAAACUCCUUUCUCUAAAUAGCUGCGGCAAAAAUCAAGUGAUUGAAAUAGAAACCAAAUGGCUGUGAACAAGUAAUCUAUUAAGGCCAGAUCCAGAUUUUUGUGGGGAUGAAGUUUAUAAUCAAGGGGACCUUCUCUAAGAAGCAGAACAUAAAAUAUAAAUAAAAAAUCAGGUAAAAAAGCAAUAAUUUAUUUAAAAACUGAUUAAAUUCUGACUGAUAUCACAAACAUAAUCCAGAAAAAGCAACAUAAUAUUUUUAAAUAAACUGCCAUCUAUAACUUAAUAAUAUUAUUUUGUGUCUUCACCCAACAAUGAUUUUGUAGUGUCAUUUUAAGUGAGACUAAAGAAAGGUGAUUUAGUCUUUCUCCUAGCAUGAUUGAUUAGAAUUUGUUCUUUAUUAUUGAUAUUAAAUGUUAUUGAUGCAUUUUAGGAGUUUGUGAAAUUCAAGAAAACUUCUAUUAAGUUCCCAUAAGACUUCAGGGUCCUUUAAGUUUGUUUUUGUAGUGGUUAAUCUUAAAUACUCUGAGCUGAUUUCACUCAUGAUCCAGUUUGUUAUCAAUGUCCCAUUGGAGAUAUUAAUUUUCUGUUACACUUGCUGAAAUCAGUGUCUUAUGACAAAUCAUUAAGAGUCAUAGGACUCUCCUCUUCGUUGGCUAGGUCAUCAAAUAAUCCAAAGACUUAUUCAUUAUUUCUAUUCUAAAUGUACCUUUUUCUCCUAAUGAACUUCUGGUUUUUGUAUGAUUUGAAAAUCCUUUGAUAAUCAUUUCUUGUAAUAUACAUUCACUCUGCAAUAUCUACCACCACUUCUUAAUUACAUAUGGAAAUAGAUGAAAAUAUUUGUAUUUUAUAUGGAAAUAGACGAAAAUAUUUGUAUUUUAUGAUCAUUUAUAAUUGCAAAUGGUGCAUGAUUAAAUAUAUUCUGGUAGAAGAGAAUUCCGUUUUGGCUAGGCAUUAUCUUCCACUCACAAGUUUAAAAACUGUCAUUUUGAAAUUCUUUCAAACAUAUAGAAAAAUUUCAAGAAUGUGAAAACACACUCCCAUGUGCCUUUGCCCAAAUUGACAAUUAUUCAAAUUUUAUUACAUUUGUUUUGUCAUGGUACUUGUGUGUGGUGUACAUGUUUUUUUUCUUUUUUUUUCCUGCAUCAUUCAAAAACAUUGCAUAUAGUAUGCCACUUUAC
rnacentral:lncRNA from 1 species